rnacentral:rRNA from 1 species
GGGUUGUGAGGUUAAGCGACUAAGCGUACACGGUGGAUGCCCUGGCAGUCAGAGGCGAUGAAGGACGUGCUAAUCUGCGAUAAGCGUCGGUAAGGUGAUAUGAACCGUUAUAACCGGCGAUUUCCGAAUGGGGAAACCCAGUGUGUUUCGACACACUAUCAUUAACUGAAUCCAUAGGUUAAUGAGGCGAACCGGGGGAACUGAAACAUCUAAGUACCCCGAGGAAAAGAAAUCAACCGAGAUUCCCCCAGUAGCGGCGAGCGAACGGGGAGGAGCCCAGAGCCUGAAUCAGUGUGUGUGUUAGUGGAAGCGUCUGGAAAGGCGCGCGAUACAGGGUGACAGCCCCGUACACAAAAAUGCACAUGCUGUGAGCUCGAUGAGUAGGGCGGGACACGUGGUAUCCUGUCUGAAUAUGGGGGGACCAUCCUCCAAGGCUAAAUACUCCUGACUGACCGAUAGUGAACCAGUACCGUGAGGGAAAGGCGAAAAGAACCCCGGCGAGGGGAGUGAAAAAGAACCUGAAACCGUGUACGUACAAGCAGUGGGAGCCUCUUUUAUGGGGUGACUGCGUACCUUUUGUAUAAUGGGUCAGCGACUUAUAUUCUGUAGCAAGGUUAACCGAAUAGGGGAGCCGAAGGGAAACCGAGUCUUAACUGGGCGUUAAGUUGCAGGGUAUAGACCCGAAACCCGGUGAUCUAGCCAUGGGCAGGUUGAAGGUUGGGUAACACUAACUGGAGGACCGAACCGACUAAUGUUGAAAAAUUAGCGGAUGACUUGUGGCUGGGGGUGAAAGGCCAAUCAAACCGGGAGAUAGCUGGUUCUCCCCGAAAGCUAUUUAGGUAGCGCCUCGUGAAUUCAUCUCCGGGGGUAGAGCACUGUUUCGGCAAGGGGGUCAUCCCGACUUACCAACCCGAUGCAAACUGCGAAUACCGGAGAAUGUUAUCACGGGAGACACACGGCGGGUGCUAACGUCCGUCGUGAAGAGGGAAACAACCCAGACCGCCAGCUAAGGUCCCAAAGUCAUGGUUAAGUGGGAAACGAUGUGGGAAGGCCCAGACAGCCAGGAUGUUGGCUUAGAAGCAGCCAUCAUUUAAAGAAAGCGUAAUAGCUCACUGGUCGAGUCGGCCUGCGCGGAAGAUGUAACGGGGCUAAACCAUGCACCGAAGCUGCGGCAGCGACACUGUGUGUUGUUGGGUAGGGGAGCGUUCUGUAAGCCUGUGAAGGUGUACUGUGAGGUAUGCUGGAGGUAUCAGAAGUGCGAAUGCUGACAUAAGUAACGAUAAAGCGGGUGAAAAGCCCGCUCGCCGGAAGACCAAGGGUUCCUGUCCAACGUUAAUCGGGGCAGGGUGAGUCGACCCCUAAGGCGAGGCCGAAAGGCGUAGUCGAUGGGAAACAGGUUAAUAUUCCUGUACUUGGUGUUACUGCGAAGGGGGGACGGAGAAGGCUAUGUUGGCCGGGCGACGGUUGUCCCGGUUUAAGCGUGUAGGCUGGUUUUCCAGGCAAAUCCGGAAAAUCAAGGCUGAGGCGUGAUGACGAGGCACUACGGUGCUGAAGCAACAAAUGCCCUGCUUCCAGGAAAAGCCUCUAAGCAUCAGGUAACAUCAAAUCGUACCCCAAACCGACACAGGUGGUCAGGUAGAGAAUACCAAGGCGCUUGAGAGAACUCGGGUGAAGGAACUAGGCAAAAUGGUGCCGUAACUUCGGGAGAAGGCACGCUGAUAUGUAGGUGAAGUCCCUCGCGGAUGGAGCUGAAAUCAGUCGAAGAUACCAGCUGGCUGCAACUGUUUAUUAAAAACACAGCACUGUGCAAACACGAAAGUGGACGUAUACGGUGUGACGCCUGCCCGGUGCCGGAAGGUUAAUUGAUGGGGUCAGCGCAAGCGAAGCUCUUGAUCGAAGCCCCGGUAAACGGCGGCCGUAACUAUAACGGUCCUAAGGUAGCGAAAUUCCUUGUCGGGUAAGUUCCGACCUGCACGAAUGGCGUAAUGAUGGCCAGGCUGUCUCCACCCGAGACUCAGUGAAAUUGAACUCGCUGUGAAGAUGCAGUGUACCCGCGGCAAGACGGAAAGACCCCGUGAACCUUUACUAUAGCUUGACACUGAACAUUGAGCCUUGAUGUGUAGGAUAGGUGGGAGGCUUAGAAGUGUGGACGCCAGUCUGCAUGGAGCCGACCUUGAAAUACCACCCUUUAAUGUUUGAUGUUCUAACGUUGACCCGUGAUCCGGGUUGCGGACAGUGUCUGGUGGGUAGUUUGACUGGGGCGGUCUCCUCCUAAAGAGUAACGGAGGAGCACGAAGGUUGGCUAAUCCUGGUCGGACAUCAGGAGGUUAGUGCAAUGGCAUAAGCCAGCUUGACUGCGAGCGUGACGGCGCGAGCAGGUGCGAAAGCAGGUCAUAGUGAUCCGGUGGUUCUGAAUGGAAGGGCCAUCGCUCAACGGAUAAAAGGUACUCCGGGGAUAACAGGCUGAUACCGCCCAAGAGUUCAUAUCGACGGCGGUGUUUGGCACCUCGAUGUCGGCUCAUCACAUCCUGGGGCUGAAGUAGGUCCCAAGGGUAUGGCUGUUCGCCAUUUAAAGUGGUACGCGAGCUGGGUUUAGAACGUCGUGAGACAGUUCGGUCCCUAUCUGCCGUGGGCGCUGGAGAACUGAGGGGGGCUGCUCCUAGUACGAGAGGACCGGAGUGGACGCAUCACUGGUGUUCGGGUUGUCAUGCCAAUGGCACUGCCCGGUAGCUAAAUGCGGAAGAGAUAAGUGCUGAAAGCAUCUAAGCACGAAACUUGCCCCGAGAUGAGUUCUCCCUGACUCCUUGAGAGUCCUGAAGGAACGUUGAAGACGACGACGUUGAUAGGCCGGGUGUGUAAGCGCAGCGAUGCGUUGAGCUAACCGGUACUAAUGAACCGUGAGGCUUAACCUUACAACGCCGAAGCUGUU